rnacentral:rRNA from 1 species
UACAGAGGUCUCAAGCGUUGUUCGGAUUCAUUGGGCGUAAAGGGUGCGUAGGCGGCGCGGUAAGUCGGGUGUGAAAUCUCGGAGCUUAACUCCGAAACUGCAUUCGAUACUGCCGUGCUUGAGUACCGGAGAGGGUGGCGGAAUUCCCCAAGUAGAGGUGAAAUUCGUAGAUAUGGGGAGGAACACCGGUGGCGAAGGCGGCCACCUGGACGGAUACUGACGCUGAGACGCGAAAGCGUGGGUAGCAAACAGG